GGUUAAGCGACUAAGCGUACACGGUGGAUGCCCUGGCAGUCAGAGGCGAUGAAGGACGUGCUAAUCUGCGAAAAGCGUCGGUAAGGUGAUAUGAACCGUUAUAACCGGCGAUGUCCGAAUGGGGAAACCCAGUGCAAUUCGUUGCACUAUCGUUAACUGAAUACAUAGGUUAACGAGGCGAACCGGGGGAACUGAAACAUCUAAGUACCCCGAGGAAAAGAAAUCAACCGAGAUUCCCCCAGUAGCGGCGAGCGAACGGGGAGCAGCCCGGAGUCUGAAUCAGCUUGUGUGUUAGUGGAAGCGUCUGGAAAGUCGCAGGGUACAGGGUGAUACUCCCGUACACUAAAACACACAGGUUGUGAACUCGAAGAGUAGGGCGGGACACGUGGUAUCCUGUCUGAAUAUGGGGGGACCAUCCUCCAAGGCUAAAUACUCCUGACUGACCGAUAGUGAACCAGUACCGUGAGGGAAAGGCGAAAAGAACCCCGGCGAGGGGAGUGAAAAAGAGCCUGAAACCGUGUACGUACAAGCAGUAGGAGCCCACUAGUUGGGUGACUGCGUACCUUUUGUAUAAUGGGUCAGCGACUUAUAUUCUGUAGCAAGGUUAACCGAAUAGGGGAGCCGCAGGGAAACCGAGUCUUAACUGGGCGUUAAGUUGCAGGGUAUAGACCCGAAACCCGGUGAUCUAGCCAUGGGCAGGUUGAAGGUUGGGUAACACUAACUGGAGGACCGAACCGACUAAUGUUGAAAAAUUAGCGGAUGACUUGUGGCUGGGGGUGAAAGGCCAAUCAAACCGGGAGAUAGCUGGUUCUCCCCGAAAGCUAUUUAGGUAGCGCCUCGUGAACUCAUCUUCGGGGGUAGAGCACUGUUUCGGCUAGGGGGUCAUCCCGACUUACCAACCCGAUGCAAACUACGAAUACCGAAGAAUGUUAUCACGGGAGACACACGGCGGGUGCUAACGUCCGUCGUGAAGAGGGAAACAACCCAGACCGCCAGCUAAGGUCCCAAAGUCAUGGUUAAGUGGGAAACGAUGUGGGAAGGCCCAGACAGCCAGGAUGUUGGCUUAGAAGCAGCCAUCAUUUAAAGAAAGCGUAAUAGCUCACUGGUCGAGUCGGCCUGCGCGGAAGAUGUAACGGGGCUAAACCAUGCACCGAAGCUGCGGCAGCGACGCUUAUGCGUUGUUGGGUAGGGGAGCGUUCUGUAAGCCGUUGAAGGUGGCCUGUGAGGGUUGCUGGAGGUAUCAGAAGUGCGAAUGCUGACAUAAGUAACGAUAAUGCGGGUGAAAAACCCGCACGCCGGAAGACCAAGGGUUCCUGUCCAACGUUAAUCGGGGCAGGGUGAGUCGACCCCUAAGGCGAGGCCGAAAGGCGUAGUCGAUGGGAAACAGGUUAAUAUUCCUGUACUUGGUGUUACUGCGAAGGGGGGACGGAGAAGGCUAUGUUGGCCGGGCGACGGUUGUCCCGGUUUAAGCAUGUAGGCGGAUGUUCCAGGUAAAUCCGGAACGUCACUAACGCUGAGGUGUGAUGACGAGGCACUACGGUGCUGAAGUGACAAAUGCCCUGCUUCCAGGAAAAGCCUCUAAGCAUCAGGUAACAUCAAAUCGUACCCCAAACCGACACAGGUGGUCAGGUAGAGAAUACCAAGGCGCUUGAGAGAACUCGGGUGAAGGAACUAGGCAAAAUGGUGCCGUAACUUCGGGAGAAGGCACGCUGAUGGUAAGUGAAGUGACUUGCUCAUGGAGCUGAAAUCAGUCGAAGAUACCAGCUGGCUGCAACUGUUUAUUAAAAACACAGCACUGUGCAAACACGAAAGUGGACGUAUACGGUGUGACGCCUGCCCGGUGCCGGAAGGUUAAUUGAUGGGGUUAUCCUCACGGAGAAGCUCUUGAUCGAAGCCCCGGUAAACGGCGGCCGUAACUAUAACGGUCCUAAGGUAGCGAAAUUCCUUGUCGGGUAAGUUCCGACCUGCACGAAUGGCGUAAUGAUGGCCAGGCUGUCUCCACCCGAGACUCAGUGAAAUUGAACUCGCUGUGAAGAUGCAGUGUACCCGCGGCAAGACGGAAAGACCCCGUGAACCUUUACUAUAGCUUGACACUGAACACUGGUCCUUGAUGUGUAGGAUAGGUGGGAGGCUUUGAAGUGUGGACGCCAGUCUGCAUGGAGCCAUCCUUGAAAUACCACCCUUUAAUGGCUGGUGUUCUAACGUGGGCCCGUGAUCCGGGUUGCGGACAGUGUCUGGUGGGUAGUUUGACUGGGGCGGUCUCCUCCUAAAGAGUAACGGAGGAGCACGAAGGUCAGCUAAUCCUGGUCGGACAUCAGGAGGUUAGUGCAAUGGCAUAAGCUGGCUUGACUGCGAGCGUGACGGCGCGAGCAGGUGCGAAAGCAGGUCAUAGUGAUCCGGUGGUUCUGAAUGGAAGGGCCAUCGCUCAACGGAUAAAAGGUACUCCGGGGAUAACAGGCUGAUACCGCCCAAGAGUUCAUAUCGACGGCGGUGUUUGGCACCUCGAUGUCGGCUCAUCACAUCCUGGGGCUGAAGUAGGUCCCAAGGGUAUGGCUGUUCGCCAUUUAAAGUGGUACGCGAGCUGGGUUUAGAACGUCGUGAGACAGUUCGGUCCCUAUCUGCCGUGGGCGCUGGAGAAUUGAGGGGGGCUGCUCCUAGUACGAGAGGACCGGAGUGGACGCAUCACUGGUGUUCGGGUUGUCAUGCCAAUGGCAUUGCCCGGUAGCUAAAUGCGGAAGAGAUAAGUGCUGAAAGCAUCUAAGCACGAAACUUGCCCCGAGAUGAGUUCUCCCUGACCCUUUAAGGGUCCUGAAGGAACGUUGAAGACGACGACGUUGAUAGGCCGGGUGUGUAAGCGCAGCGAUGCGUUGAGCUAACCGGUACUAAUGAACCGUGAGGCUUAACCUU
rnacentral:rRNA from 1 species